AUGUCCGCAGGUGACAGUUUACAAGAUGACAUCAGUCCAACGUCUACAGAACGCAUCGCCCUAGAGGGAGAGACAGUUUCUCUCUCCUGCACAUACACUGUUGGUGUACAAGAUCUGCAGUGGUAUCGCCAGAAUCCAGGAUCUAAACCAGAAUUCAUCAUCAUGUUGUAUGAGUCCAGUGACACCCAAAUCAAAUCAACUCCUCCUCAUCCUCGAGCCUCUGGUCAAGUGGAUAAAGAUAAAAAGUUUCAUCUGAAUAUCUCAUCUGCUGAAGUCUCAGACUCUGCUGUCUACUACUGCGCUCUGAGGCCCACAGUGACAGGAACAGCAGCUGCACUGAACAAAAACCCUCCCAGCUUUUAA